UGUAACUGAGUGUUUCUUGGCACGUUAUGUUUUGGUCGUAAAAGUAAUUGGUUAGUUAGUUACAG
rnacentral:tRNA from 1 species